rnacentral:ncRNA from 1 species
UUUAUGGAGAGUUUGAUCCUGGCUCAGGACGAACGCUGGCGGCGUGCCUAAUACAUGCAAGUCGAGCGGACAAUUGAGAGCUUGCUCUCAAUUGUUAGCGGCGGACGGGUGAGUAACACGUGGGCAACCUGGGCAACCUGCCCUGUAGACUGGGAUAACUUCGGGA